CACAACAAAAGUUGCUUUGCCGAUGCGAUUUGCGACUCGUCCAAUUGUGGCACCAAAGUAUGGAUUAUUCGAUGAAAGAUGUAAAAAGUGAAGAAGUGACUUGAAACUGCGCGCUAAAAAUACUUAAAAAUAGAUUCCAUCGUCGGCACCUCACACUAUUAUCGCGAAGAUAAGUUCUAAUGUUAAUGUUUAUUGGCUCAAUGCUUAUUGGUGGCAGCAAAAUACAUACAUGUUAUAUAGAUGCUGCAACAGAUUCAAAACAUCUUUAACACAGGAUGCUAAUAUACUUUCUAGUCUAUUCAAAAAUAACACUGACC